rnacentral:rRNA from 1 species
GACGGAGGGUGCUAGCGUUGUUCGGAAUCACUGGGCGUAAAGGGCGCGUAGGCGGCCUUGCAAGUCGGUUGGUGAAAGCCCGGGGCUCAACCCCGGAGGUGCGGCCGAGACUGCAGGGCUGGAGGCCGGAAGAGGAGGGUGGAAUACCCAGUGUAGAGGUGAAAUUCGUAGAUAUUGGGAGGAACACCGGUGGCGAAGGCGGCCCUCUGGACCGGUACUGACGCUGAUGCGCGAAAGCGUGGGGAGCAAACGGG